rnacentral:rRNA from 1 species
UACGGAGGGGGCUAGCGUUGUUCGGAACUACUGGGCGUAAAGCGCACGUAGGCGGCGCAGUAAGUCAGGGGUGAAAUCCCGGGGCUCAACCCCGGAACUGCCCUUGAAACUGCAGUGCUAGAAUUCUGGAGAGGCGAGUGGAAUUCCGAGUGUAGAGGUGAAAUUCGUAGAUAUUCGGAAGAACACCAGUGGCGAAGGCGACUCGCUGGACAGACAUUGACGCUGAGGUGCGAAAGCGUGGGGAGCAAACAGG